rnacentral:rRNA from 1 species
UGAGUAACACGUGAGUAACCUGCCCCUGACUCUGGGAUAAGCGUUGGAAACGACGUCUAAUACUGGAUAUGACUGCCGGCCGCAUGGUCUGGUGGUGGAAAGAUUUUUUGGUUGGGGAUGGACUCGCGGCCUAUCAGCUUGUUGGUGAGGUAAUGGCUCACCAAGGCGACGACGGGUAGCCGGCCUGAGAGGGUGACCGGCCACACUGGGACUGAGACACGGCCCAGACUCCUACGGGAGGCAGCAGUGGGGAAUAUUGCACAAUGGGCGAAAGCCUGAUGCAGCAACGCCGCGUGAGGGAUGACGGCCUUCGGGUUGUAAACCUCUUUUAGUAGGGAAGAAGCGAAAGUGACGGUACCUGCAGAAAAAGCACCGGCUAACUACGUGCCAGCAGCCGCGGUAAUACGUAGGGUGCAAGCGUUGUCCGGAAUUAUUGGGCGUAAAGAGCUCGUAGGCGGUUUGUCGCGUCUGCUGUGAAAUCCCGAGGCUCAACCUCGGGCUUGCAGUGGGUACGGGCAGACUAGAGUGCGGUAGGGGAGAUUGGAAUUCCUGGUGUAGCGGUGGAAUGCGCAGAUAUCAGGAGGAACACCGAUGGCGAAGGCAGAUCUCUGGGCCGUAACUGACGCUGAGGAGCGAAAGCGUGGGGAGCGAACAGGAUUAGAUACCCUGGUAGUCCACGCCGUAAACGUUGGGCGCUAGAUGUAGGGACCUUUCCACGGUUUCUGUGUCGUAGCUAACGCAUUAAGCGCCCCGCCUGGGGAGUACGGCCGCAAGGCUAAAACUCAAAGGAAUUGACGGGGGCCCGCACAAGCGGCGGAGCAUGCGGAUUAAUUCGAUGCAACGCGAAGAACCUUACCAAGGCUUGACAUACACCGGAAACGGCCAGAGAUGGUCGCCCCCUUGUGGUCGGUGUACAGGUGGUGCAUGGUUGUCGUCAGCUCGUGUCGUGAGAUGUUGGGUUAAGUCCCGCAACGAGCGCAACCCUCGUUCUAUGUUGCCAGCGCGUUAUGGCGGGGACUCAUAGGAGACUGCCGGGGUCAACUCGGAGGAAGGUGGGGAUGACGUCAAAUCAUCAUGCCCCUUAUGUCUUGGGCUUCACGCAUGCUACAAUGGCCGGUACAAAGGGCUGCGAUACCGUAAGGUGGAGCGAAUCCCAAAAAGCCGGUCUCAGUUCGGAUUGAGGUCUGCAACUCGACCUCAUGAAGUCGGAGUCGCUAGUAAUCGCAGAUCAGCAA